GAUGAACGCUGGCGGCGUGCCUAAUACAUGCAAGUCGAGCGAAUGGAUUGAGAGCUUGCUCUUAUGAAGUUAGCGGCGGACGGGUGAGUAACACGUGGGUAACCUGCCCAUAAGACUGGGAUAACUCCGGGAAACCGGGGCUAAUACCGGAUAACAUUUUGAACCGCAUGGCUCGAAAUUGAAAGGCGGCUUCGGCUGUCACUUAUGGAUGGACCCGCGUCGCAUUAGCUAGUUGGUGAGGUAACGGCUCACCAAGGCAACGAUGCGUAGCCGACCUGAGAGGGUGAUCGGCCACACUGGGACUGGGACACGGCCCAGACUCCUACGGGAGGCAGCAGUAGGGAAUCAUCCGCAAUGGACGAAAGUCUGACGGAGCAACGCCGCGUGAGUGAUGAAGGCUUUCGGGUCGUAAAACUCUGUUGUUAGGGAAGAACAAGUGCUAGUUGAAUAAGCUGGCACCUUGACGGUACCUAACCAGAAAGCCACGGCUAACUACGUGCCAGCCGCCGCAGUAA
rnacentral:rRNA from 1 species